rnacentral:tRNA from 1 species
UCCCUGGUGGCUCAGAUGGUAAAGAACCUGCCUGCAAUGCUGGAGACCCAGGUUUGAUCCCUGGGUCGAGGAG